GGGCGGUUAGCUCAGUUGGUGGAGCGUGUGGUUUACAUCCACAAGGUCACAGGUUCGAGCCCUGUACCGCCCA
rnacentral:tRNA from 1 species